GUGCUCGCUUUGGCAGCACACAUACUAAAAUUGGAACAAAACAGAGACGAUUAGUAUGGCCCCUGUCAAGGAUAACAUGCAGUUUUUGAAGCAUUCCAUAUUAAA
rnacentral:snRNA from 1 species